CGGUGCGUUGGCCGUCAUUUUCCCGGUCUGAUUUGGGAUCAGAGGGUCGUAGGUUCGAAUCCUAUCGCUCCGACCA
rnacentral:tRNA from 1 species